rnacentral:rRNA from 1 species
UACCAGCACCCCCGAGUGGUCGGGACGUUUUAUUGGGCCUAAAGCAUCCGUAGCCGGUUCUACAAGUCUUCCGUUAAAUCCACCUGCUUAACAGAUGGGCUGCGGAAGAUACUAUAGAGCUAGGAGGCGGGAGAGGCAAGCGGUACUCGAUGGGUAGGGGUAAAAUCCGUUGAUCCAUUGAAGACCACCAGUGGCGAAGGCGGCUUGCCAGAACGCGCUCGACGGUGAGGGAUGAAAGCUGGGGGGAGCAAACCGG